rnacentral:rRNA from 1 species
UACGAAGGGUGCAAGCGUUACUCGGAAUUACUGGGCGUAAAGCGUGCGUAGGCGGUUUGUUAAGUCCGCUGUGAAAGCCCUGGGCUCAACCUGGGAAUUGCAGUGGAUACUGGCAAGCUAGAGUGCGGUAGAGGAUGGUGGAAUUCCUGGUGUAGCGGUGAAAUGCGCAGAUAUCAGGAAGAACACCCGUGGCGAAGGCGGCUCUCUGGGCAUGAUCUGACGCUGAGGAGCGAAAGUGUGGGGAGCGAACAGG